GUAAGUCACGUUUAUUCUAUUCAGCAAUGUUUCAAUCUUGUACAACCAGUUGCAUACAUACAUUGGAAACUACACAUAUCUAUCACUGAUAUUCAAUGCCAGUUAAAGCAAGUAAAGAUUCUAAUAAUUUAAGUCAACAAACUAUUUAUUCA